rnacentral:rRNA from 1 species
UACGUAGGGUGCGAGCGUUGUCCGGAAUUAUUGGGCGUAAAGAGCUCGUAGGCGGCCUGUCGCGUCGGUUGUGAAAGCCCGGGGCUUAACCCCGGGUCUGCAGUCGAUACGGGCAGGCUAGAGUUCGGUAGGGGAGAUCGGAAUUCCUGGUGUAGCGGUGAAAUGCGCAGAUAUCAGGAGGAACACCGGUGGCGAAGGCGGAUCUCUGGGCCGAUACUGACGCUGAGGCACGAAAGCGUGGGGAGCAAACAGG